AUUGAACGCUGGCGGCAUGCCUUACACAUGCAAGUCGGACGGCAGCGCGGGGGCAACCCUGGCGGCGAGUGGCGAACGGGUGAGUAAUACAUCGGAACGUGUCCUGGAGUGGGGGAUAGCCCGGCGAAAGCCGGAUUAAUACCGCAUACGCUCUGUGGAGGAAAGCGGGGGAUCUUCGGACCUCGCGCUCAAGGGGCGGCCGAUGGCAGAUUAGCUAGUUGGUGGGGUAAAGGCCUACCAAGGCGACGAUCUGUAGCUGGUCUGAGAGGACGACCAGCC
rnacentral:rRNA from 4 species